GCUCGCUUGGAAAUUUUCCGCUAGUUGGUGAUGGAAUCAAUAAUUCUGUACAGGCUAGAUAUUCAUUGAACAUUUUAUGUGGCUUAAAACUUUAAUUUUUAGACUAGUUUCAAUCACAAACAACGUGGGGUGAUGAAAUUCAAAAAAUAUAUAUUUACUAUGUUUUUCUUCUCAUUUUUGUAGUAAGUCGCUUUUAGUGGGAAAAUUUUGGGUCUGCCACUCACGGGCAUUUUUGACUUUCGACUAGAAGUCAAUAUUUCUCAUUUUCAUACAUUUUUAUUUUUAAAUUACUUGUGCCUGUAUCCUACUUAAGGUGCAAUAUAUUCUGUGCUGUCUUUCAACCACAGAUAUCAUCUGUUAGCUUCUUUAACUGUGCUUAAAGCAUUUGUUAUGAUUUAGAACAUGAUAAUCCAAGAGUUGCUAUCUAUUAUUGUUGCCUAGGGAGUAGGAUAAAAUUCUGGUUCUAACUUUUAUGUUCAUUUUAUAUUUUGGAAACGAU
rnacentral:misc_RNA from 1 species